AUACAAAUCAUCCAGAGAUCCUGUUAAAAUGAAGAUUCUGAUUCAGGAAGUCUGGGAUGAGGCCCAAGAUCCUGCAUUUUUAAUAAGCUCCCAGGUGAUGCUGAU
rnacentral:pre_miRNA from 1 species